CCAAAAUGUCCAUCAACUAACAGAUGUAAAAAAUGAAAUAUCCAUGAUGUAAUAUUAUGCAGCUAUAAAAAGGAGUAAGAUACUGAUUCAUGCCAUGACACAGAUGAACCUACAAAACAGUAUGCUGAGUGAAGGAAAGCAGACACAAAAGGCCACCUACUGUCUGAUUCCACUUCUAUGAAAUGUCAGAAGAGGGAGGCUCACAGGCAGAAAGCAGGACGCCCAUUGCAAUGCGAGCCGGCAGAUAAAAGCCGUGACGUGCUGUCUGCCCAAGCGCAAGGAUCGCCUGCAAUCCCCCAGCCCUUGGGUGGCAACACAAAGCACCUCUCAUACUAUAAUGCUCUGGGCGGCCCCAGGCUCAGCUCUAAUCGUGCAGAGCCUGACCUCGCCUCGGGGGAGCCGGCUGGACUGGGAAGGGCUGUGCAGGGUCCACACCCUGGACUGGGCUUGGUUUGAGCAGCUCUACUCUUUUUGUUUAAGAGCAAAGAUGAGAUUGUGUUGAGAGAGUACAGCCUCUAUCUUGGACUGCUAAUAAUAUAGAUAAGGAUAACAACAGCACAAUAAAACUGGUAGAAGUGAA
rnacentral:lncRNA from 10 species